UGGGGAAUAUUGCACAAUGGGCGCAAGCCUGAUGCAGCCAUGCCGCGUGUGUGAAGAAGGCCUUCGGGUUGUAAAGCACUUUCAGCGAGGAGGAAGGUGGUGAACUUAAUACGUUCAUCAAUUGACGUUACUCGCAGAAGAAGCACCGGCUAACUCCGUGCCAGCAGCCGCGGUAAUACGGAGGGUGCAAGCGUUAAUCGGAAUUACUGGGCGUAAAGCGCACGCAGGCGGUUUGUUAAGUCAGAUGUGAAAUCCCCGGGGCUCAACCUGGGAACUGCAUUUGAAACUGGCAAGCUAGAGUCUCGUAGAGGGGGGUAGAAUUCCAGGUGUAGCGGUGAAAUGCGUAGAGAUCUGGAGGAAUACCGGUGGCGAAGGCGGCCCCCUGGANGAAGACUGACGCUCAGGUGCGAAAGGCGUGGGGGAGCAAACAGGAUUAGAUACCCCUGGUAGUCCACGCUGUAAACGAUGUCGAUUUUGGA
rnacentral:rRNA from 1 species